UACGGGGGGGGCAAGCGUUGUUCGGAAUUACUGGGCGUAAAGGGCUCGUAGGCGGCCAACUAAGUCAGACGUGAAAUCCCUCGGCUUAACCGGGGAACUGCGUCUGAUACUGGAUGGGCUCGAGUUUGGGAGAGGGAUGCGGAAUUCCAGGUGUAGCGGUGAAAUGCGUAGAUAUCUGGAGGAACACCGGUGGCGAAGGCGGCAUCCUGGACCAACACUGACGCUGAUGAGCGAAAGCCAGGGGAGCAAACGGGG
rnacentral:rRNA from 1 species